CUACGGGAGGCAGCAGUGGGGAAUAUUGGACAAUGGGGGGAACCCUGAUCCAGCCAUGCCGCGUGUGUGAAGAAGGCCUUAUGGUUGUAAAGCUCUUUAAGCGAGGAGGAGGCUACUGAGACUAAUACUCUUGGAUAGUGACGUACUCGCAGAAAAGCCCGCUCCC
rnacentral:rRNA from 1 species